rnacentral:rRNA from 1 species
UACGUAGGGGGCUAGCGUUGUCCGGAAUCAUUGGGCGUAAAGAGCGUGUAGGCGGUCCGGUAAGUCCGCUGUGAAAGUCGGGGGCUCAACCCUCGAAUGCCGGUGGAUACUGUCGGGCUAGAGUACGGAAGAGGCGAGUGGAAUUCCUGGUGUAGCGGUGAAAUGCGCAGAUAUCUACUGGAACGCCGAUGGUGAAGACGCCCGGCUGGGCCUUUCCUGACACUGAGGCACGAAAGCGUGGGGAGCAAACAGG